AAUCAACGCUGGCGGCGUGCCUAACACAUGCAAGUCGAACGCGAAAGCCCCGCAAGGGGUAAGUAGAGUGGCAAACGGGUGAGUAACACGUGGGUGACCUGCCUUCGAGUGGGGGAUAACGUCCCGAAAGGGACGCUAAUACCGCAUGACAUCCUGCUUUUGAAAAAGCGGAGAUCAAAGCUGGGGAUCGCAAGACCUAGCGCUUGAAGAGGGGCCCGCGCCUGAUUAGCUAGUUGGUGAGGUAACGGCUCACCAAGGCGACGAUCAGUAUCCGGCCUGAGAGGGCGGACGGACACACUGGGACUGAGACACGGCCCAGACUCCUACGGGGGGCAGCAGUGGGGAAUUGUUCGCAAUGGGCGCAAGCCUGACGACGCAACGCCGCGUGGAGGACGAAGAUCUUCGGGUCGUAAACUCCGGUCGAGCGGGACGAACGCUUCGCGGAUGAAUAAGCCGCGGAAUUGACGGUACCGCUAAAGGAAGCCCCGGCUAACUCCGUG
rnacentral:rRNA from 1 species